GCUUUUAUAGUAUAGAGCAGUACGUAGGUUUUCCAAACCUGAGGGCCAGGGCUAUGCAUGGUGAGAGCA
rnacentral:tRNA from 1 species